rnacentral:lncRNA from 1 species
GUAACGCCCGUAAAAAUCUACCAAUUAAAUCACUCGUUAAAAAUGUAUUCCAAAAUUUUUCCGACCGCUGAGCUCCGUCAAGUCUUUUCCCUUCCGUCGGACCCGUCGUUCUGGCCCCGACUCGUCAACCCUCUUUUUCCGCUCCCCGUAAUUUUCGCCGCGUGCCCGUCCAAUCCAUCACGCGAGCCGUCUAAAUCCCGCAACUUUCGCUGAGCUGCCCCUCUCCUUUUUCC